rnacentral:rRNA from 1 species
UACCUGGUCUUGACAUCCACAGAACUUUCCAGAGAUGGUUUGGUGCUUUCGGGAACUGUGACACAGGUGCCGCAUGGCUGUUGUCAGCUCGUGUUGUGAAAUGUUGGUUUAAGUCCCGCAGCGAGCGCAACCUUUAUCUUUUGUUCCCAGCGGUUAGGCCGGGAAUUCAAAGGAGACUGCCAGUGAUAAACGGGAGGAAGGUGGGGAUGACGCCAAGUCUUCAUGGCCCUUACGACCAGGGUUCCCCACGUGUUCCAAUGGCAUAUCCAAAGAGAAGCGACCUCGCGAGAGCAAGCGGACCUCAUAAAGUAUGUCGUAGUCCGGAUGGGAGUCGCCAACUGGACUCCAGGAAGUCGGAAUCGCUAGUAAUCGUAGAUCAGAAUGAUGCGGGAAUAC